UUAUACUUAUUGUAAUUUCUUCUAGUCUUUGCAUACUUCCCAAUAGGCCAUAGAGUAAUUUAAUACUCUACUAGUUUUUUAUUAGAAAAAAAGAAUGAAAAACUAGUACUGAGUAACUUAUGGAAUGUUGUGAAGUAUGUGCUCGACUGGGACCAGUCUGCAAAUGAG
rnacentral:pre_miRNA from 1 species